UACGUAGGGUGCGAGCGUUAAUCGGAAUUACUGGGCGUAAAGCGUGCGCAGGCGGUUUUGUAAGCCAGAUGUGAAAUACCCGGGCUUAACUUGGGUGCUGCAUUUCAAACUGGAAGUCUAGAGUGCGGGAGAGGAGAGUGGAAUUCCUAGUGUAGCGGUGAAAUGCGUAGAGAUUAGGAAGAACACCAGUGGCGAAGGCGGCUCACUGGCCCGAUACUGACGCUGAGGCACGAAAGCGUGGGGAGCAAACAGG
rnacentral:rRNA from 1 species